UACUCUUGUGCAUCCAGUUGUGUACUGC
rnacentral:sRNA from 1 species